AAACUUACCUGGCCGGGAAGCUCCGGUGAUCAAGAAGGUCGGAGUUCCGUAGUGAGGCUUCAUCAUUGCACUUUAGAUUGGAGUUGACCUGCGGGGCAACUUCAAACGAAGUUAGCCCACGGCUUAAUUUUUGUGUUUGGAGGAGCGUUCGCGCCCUCCC
rfam:Strongyloides venezuelensis genome assembly, scaffold: SVE_scaffold0000002